AGACGUCUACAUUAGAUACCCGCGUAGUCCCAGCCGUAAACUAUGCGCGUUAGGUGUAUCGGUGACCACGAGUUACCGAGGUGCCGAAGGGAAACCGUGAAACGUGCCGCCUGGGAAGUACGGUCGCAAGGCUGAAACUUAAAGGAAUUGGCGGGGAGCACCACAACGGGUGGAGCCUGCGGUUUAAUUGGACUCAACGCCGGGAAGCUCACCGGAUAAGACAGCGGAAUGAUUGCCGGGCUGAAGACUCUGCAUGACUAGCUG
rnacentral:rRNA from 1 species